rnacentral:rRNA from 1 species
UACAGAGGCCUCAAGCGUUAGGCGGAAUCACUGGGCUUAAAGCGUGCGUAGACGGUUAUGUAAGUCAGGUGUGAAAGCCCCGGGCUCAACCUGGGAAUGGCAUUUGAGACUGCAUAGCUAGGGUGCGGAAGAGGGAAGCGGAAUUUCCGGUGUAGCGGUGAAAUGCGUAGAUAUCGGAAGGAACAUCAGUGGCGAAAGCGGCUUCCUGGUCCAGCACCGACGUUCAGGCACGAAAGCGUGGGGAGCAAACAGG